UACAGGGGUCUCAAGCGUUGUUCGGAUUCAUUGGGCGUAAAGGGUGCGUAGGUGGUGAUGCAAGUCUGGUGUGAAAUCUCGGAGCUCAACUCCGAAAUUGCACCGGAUACUGCGUGACUCGAGGACUGUAGAGGAGAUCGGAAUUCACGGUGUAGCAGUGAAAUGCGUAGAUAUCGUGAGGAAGACCAGUUGCGAAGGCGGAUCUCUGGGCAGUUCCUGACACUGAGGCACGAAGGCCAGGGGAGCAAACGGG
rnacentral:rRNA from 1 species